UACCAGCACCCCGAGCGGUCGGGACGAUUAUUGGGCCUAAAGCAUCCGUAGCCGGUUCUACAAGUCUUCCGUUAAAUCCACCUGCUUAACAGAUGGGCUGCGGAAGAUACUAUAGAGCUAGGAGGCGGGAGAGGCAAGCGGUACUCGAUGGGUAGGGGUAAAAUCCGUUGAUCCAUUGAAGACCACCAGUGGCGAAGGCGGCUUGCCAGAACGCGCUCGACGGUGAGGGAUGAAAGCUGGGGGAGCAAACCGG
rnacentral:rRNA from 1 species